rnacentral:rRNA from 1 species
UGGGUAGGGCCUGACCACGGCUAUACUGCAGUCAAACGCGCGGAUCAGGAGCCUGUUCCUGUGACGCGAGUGGCGGAGGGGGCACUCCUAGGCAACCUGCCCAUCAGACCGGGAUAACCACGGGAAAAAGGGGCUAAUACCGGAUAAUCCUUUCCCGCACAAGCGGGAGAGUUGAAAGGCGGCCUUUUGGCUGUCACUGGUGGAUGGGCCUGCGGCGCAUUAGCUGGUUGGUGGGGUAACGGCCCACCAAGGCGACGAUGCGUAGCCGACCUGAGAGGGUGAUCGGCCACACUGGGACUGAGACACGGCCCAGACUCCUACGGGAGGCAGCAGUAGGGAAUCUUCCGCAAUGGACGAAAGUCUGACGGAGCAACGCCGCGUGAGUGAAGAAGGGUUUCGGCUCGUAAAACUCUGUUGUCAGGGAAGAACGCCGACGGGAGUAACUGCCCGUCGGGUGACGGUACCUGACCAGAGAGCCAC